rnacentral:rRNA from 1 species
GACGAACGCUGGCGGCGUGCUUAACACAUGCAAGUCGAACGGUGAAGCGCCUUCCUUUUUGGUGGGUGUGGAUGAGUGGCGAACGGGUGAGUAACACGUGAGUAACCUGCCCCCUUCUUCUGGAUAACCGCAUGAAAGUGUGGCUAAUACGGGAUAUUCUGGGUCUGUCGCAUGAUGGGUCUGGGAAAGAUAUUGUUUCGGUGGGGGAUGGGCUCGCGGCCUAUCAGCUUGUUGGUGGGGUGAUGGCCUACCAAGGCGGUGACGGGUAGCCGGCCUGAGAGGGUGGACGGUCACACUGGGACUGAGACACGGCCCAGACUCCUACGGGAGGCAGCAGGGGGGAAUAUUGCACAGUGGGCGCAAGCCUGAUGCAGCGACGCCGCGUGAGGGAUGGAGGCCUUCGGGUUGUGAACCUCUUUCGCCAGUGAAGCAGGCCUGCCUCGUUUGUGGGUGGGUUGACGGUAGCUGGAUAAGAAGCGCCGGCUAACUACGUG